AGUGAACGCUGGCGGUAGGCCUAACACAUGCAAGUCGAACGGCAGCACAGUAAGAGCUUGCUCUUACGGGUGGCGAGUGGCGGACGGGUGAGGAAUACAUCGGAAUCUACUUUUUCGUGGGGGAUAACGUAGGGAAACUUACGCUAAUACCGCAUACGACCUACGGGUGAAAGCAGGGGAUCUUCGGACCUUGCGCGAUUGAAUGAGCCGAUGUCGGAUUAGCUAGUCGGCGGGGUAAAGGCCCACCAAGGCGACGAUCCGUAGCUGGUCUGAGAGGAUGAUCAGCCACACUGGAACUGAGACACGGUCCAGACUCCUACGGGAGGCAGCAGUGGGGAAUAUUGGACAAUGGGCGCAAGCCUGAUCCAGCCAUACCGCGUGGGUGAAGAAGGCCUUCGGGUUGUAAAGCCCUUUUGUUGGGAAAGAAAAGCAGCAGGUUAAUACCCCGCUGUUCUGGCGGUACCCAAAGAAUAAGCACCGGCUAACUUCGUG
rnacentral:rRNA from 1 species